UACGAGGGGGGCAAGCGUUGUUCGGAAUUACUGGGCGUAAAGCGCGCGUAGGCGGCUUUGUAAGUUAGAGGUGAAAGCCCGGAGCUCAACUCCGGAACUGCCUUUAAAACUGCAUCGCUUGAAUCCAGGAGAGGUGAGUGGAAUUCCGAGUGUAGAGGUGAAAUUCGUAGAUAUUCGGAAGAACACCAGUGGCGAAGGCGGCUCACUGGACUGGUAUUGACGCUGAGGUGCGAAAGCGUGGGGAGCAAACAGG
rnacentral:rRNA from 1 species